AGAGUUUGAUCCUGGCUCAGGAUGAACGCUAGCUACAGGCUUAACACAUGCAAGUCGAGGGGCAGCAUGGUCUUAGCUUGCUAAGACUGAUGGCGACCGGCGCACGGGUGAGUAACACGUAUCCAACCUGCCGUCUACUCUUGGACAGCCUUCUGAAAGGAAGAUUAAUACAAGAUGGCAUCAUGAGUCCGCGUGUUCACAUGAUUAAAGGUAUUCCGGUAGACGAUGGGGAUGCGUUCCAUUAGAUAGUAGGCGGGGUAACGGCCCACCUAGUCUUCGAUGGAUAGGGGUUCUGAGAGGAAGGUCCCCCACAUUGGAACUGAGACACGGUCCAAACUCCUACGGGAGGCAGCAGUGAGGAAUAUUGGUCAAUGGGCGCAGGCCUGAACCAGCCAAGUAGCGUGAAGGAUGACUGCCCUAUGGGUUGUAAACUUCUUUUAUAAAGGAAUAAAGUCGGGUAUGGAUACCCGUUUGCAUGUACUUUAUGAAUAAGGAUCGGCUAACUCCGUGCCAGCAGCCGCGGUAAUACGGAGGAUCCGAGCGUUAUCCGGAUUUAUUGGGUUUAAAGGGAGCGUAGAUGGAUGUUUAAGUCAGUUGUGAAAGUUUGCGGCUCAACCGUAAAAUUGCAGUUGAUACUGGAUAUCUUGAGUGCAGUUGAGGCAGGCGGAAUUCGUGGUGUAGCGGUGAAAUGCUUAGAUAUCACGAAGAACUCCGAUUGCGAAAGCAGCCUGCUAAGCUGCAACUGACAUUGAGGC
rnacentral:rRNA from 1 species